rnacentral:rRNA from 1 species
AUGUUCGAGACGGAGUACCAAAGGGAGUUCUUCUGUGUCCUAUUAACACACGAGCUUAGGUUGGGUUACUUCAUAGGAGCUAUAGAUGGGACACAUGUAAAGGUUGUGGUGGAUAAGAGUAAGAGGGUUCAAUACUUGAACAGGCACAAUGAAACCAGUCAGAAUGUGCUUGCUGUUUGUGAUUUUGACAUGAGAUUUACAUUUGUGAUGUCGGGAUGGCCUGGUUCAGCACACGACAUGAGAGUUUUCAAAGAUGCCAUAACUACUCAUCGUCACAAAUUUCCACAUCCACCACCAGGAAAGUAUUAUGUGGUUGAUGCGGAGUUAUUUAAGUGCUAUACAUGA